AGAGCCAGGUUCUGCUCAAGGUUUCUUCCCUGUUAAAAGGGUGUUUUUCUUGCCACUGUCGCCUUAGGCCUUGCUCUGGGGGUUCAGGCAUAGCGUUGGCAACACUUAAACCAUCGUUCCAGUUUCAAGCAAAUUGAAUAAGUGCUGUGGUAUGACUGUCUUUUGGCUGCAGGUUCUGGGUCAGUCCUGCAUUUUUCACCAGUUUGUAUCCACAGUUUUCAGAGCAGGUUUCAUCUGUACAGUAUUUAAGAGUCUAAACAGGAGUUUCAACUAAAUCCACAGUUAAACUGAAAUAAUAAACACUUCAGCUGGGCUCUAAAAAGUUAUUCAAGGGACCUAUAGUCUGUCAAAAAAAAAUGCAUGGCUACGAGAUAAAAAUUCAUUUCUUCCGAUUUAGAUCAACCUUUUAGAGUGACACCUGAGGAGAUCACCUGUCCCAGCAGGAUCGGCUGGGCCUCGCAGCGAUGGACAAAGCUGGAAAGCUGGUUUUUCUGGCCACCGAGGGCGACCACCUGCAGUUUACCAGAGAGUGGUUCAAUGCCAACCUGCUGCCUUACUUACGCUAGAGCACGUCUGCAUGCCCAUGGAUUAUUUCAACAUUGUACAUUUUCAUAGCUGCACUUGAUUUAAGAGCAAUAUAAUGGAGGUUAUGGGUAAACUGGAAAACGUGUGCAGACAGCACAUGAUUCCUUCCUUUUGCCCUGAUCACUUCAUGACAGUCGAUUCUUGUUUUGUGAUGCCAUAUUAAUAUGAUCAGGUUGUUAGUAUGUUAGCUUACUCCUGUACUACCACUACUGGGCUGUUAAUGUCAUUUUAAAUGUGAGCUGCUCUGAUGAGGUCAACUGUUGGCAGAAAUAUUGUUUUGUUUUUUUUGUUUUGUUUUUUUUUUUGUAAAGGUUUUAGAAUAAGAAAAGGCCUAAAAUAAAUCAUUUUACUGUAAAAUGAUGCUUCUGUACAUAUUAUGCAUUUCAUCCAAUAAAGAUGCCAAGAAAAAGAUCUCUUGACUAAUGAGCAGAUUUCUGUUUUCAAAAAAGUUUUUAUUUCAAAGACAAAUGUACCAAUGCAAAAAUGUUAACAUGAAAAUUGGACAGAAAGAGCUAAGAUGUAAAAAAAAUGUCCAUUUUGUCUAAAUGUGUGGUCUUUAACUGCAGCCAGCUAACUAGUGACGGAAUAUUACAGCGUACAGGUGAACUAGUGAAGGCCGAACGUCCACCAGUUGAGUUUGUUUGGGUCUUCCUGGCCUUACUGGUGAGGGGGAAAAAAAAGGUACUAAUUAAGUAACGCGUGCCAAAACGUCCAUUACUUACAUUAGUGGGGAUGUUUGGACCUUAUUAGGUUAAUUAGCAAACCUCAGUGUGUUCCCUAGUAGAAGCCAAAGUGUUUAUUUUAUCAUUUUUGAAGUGGUCUGCCGGAGUGGCACAGCUUGCAGAAUGUUACAGAGUUCAAAGACGGGCAGGGGCGGAGCCAAUGGAUGAGCAUUCCAUGGGUGUGUGUG
ensembl:lncRNA